rnacentral:rRNA from 1 species
UACGUAGGGUGCAAGCGUUGUUCGGAAUCACUGGGCUUAAAGGGCGCGUAGGCGGACUGCCAAGUCCGGGGUGAAAUCCUCCGGCUUAACCGGAGAAUUGCCUGGGAUACUGGCGGGCUUGAGGGAGGUAGGGGCACGCGGAACUUCCGGUGGAGCGGUGAAAUGCGUUGAUAUCGGAAGGAACGCCGGUGGCGAAAGCGGCGUGCUGGCCCUCUUCUGACGCUGAGGCGCGAAAGCCAGGGGAGCGAACGGG